rnacentral:rRNA from 1 species
AACGAACGCUGGCGGCAGGCUUAACACAUGCAAGUCGAACGCUCGUAGCAAUACGGGAGUGGCAGACGGGUGAGUAACGCGUGGGAACAUACACUUUGGUUCGGAAUAACUGAGAGAAAUUUCAGCUAAUACCGGAUGUGCCCUUCGGGGGAAAGAUUUAUCGCCAAAGGAUUGUCCCGCGUCUGAUUAGGUAGUUGGUGAGGUAACGGCUCACCAAGCCGACGAUCAGUAGCUGGUCUGAGAGGAUGAUCAGCCACACUGGGACUGAGACACGGCCCAGACUCCUACGGGAGGCAGCAGUGGGGAAUAUUGGACAAUGGGGGCAACCCUGAUCCAGCCAUGCCGCGUGAGUGAUGAAGGCCUUAGGGUUGUAAAGCUCAUGAAGUAGGGAAGAUAAUGACGGUACCUACAGAAGAAGCCCCGGCUAACUUCGUGCCAGCAGCCGCGGUAACAC